AACUUCAAGAAAACAGCUUCUUGUCAAAACACGGAGCUACAGUAAUUAUUUUAAUGAAAAUUUCCAAUUGCCAAUGUUGCCCUCGUUUCUCUCUGCCUUCUCUCUCGCACGCCAUCCUGAAAUCGCAGCCCUCUUCUCCUCUGUUGCCUCCAGCUGCACCUCUUCUCCUCCUCCUCCUCCUCCUUUUGCUCUCUCUCCGUCGGUCUCAGCGCCAGCCGUCGCCUUCCCUCCUUCUUUCGCCGUCGCCUUCCCUCCUUCCUCUGUUGCUUGUGCGGGAGUGGAAGUCAGAGAGUUAUAUAUUGAAGCAGCAGGGGCAUUACUUCGAUGUGAAUUGUCUUGCUUAUUCACCAGAUGCGCAACUAUUAGCCACUGGAGCAGAUGAUAACUAAGUCAAGGUCUGGACUGUUUCAUCAGGGUUCUGCUUUAUAACAUUCGCUGGGAUGAAUGUGGCUUGCUUCAACUUCUCGCACAGCGAAGCUUGUGGCUAAUUGCAUCAAGGCAGCGAUGAGUUUAGUGCUGAAGAAAGGAGGAAGCACAGCGAAGCUUGUGGCUAGUACAGGCCAAGCAUGCCAAUUUUGUCCGUGGUGGUUCCUGAGAUAACAACAGCUUAUUUUGAGACCUCAUGCAGCAAUGCAGCUCCGGCAAGGCAUGACCUUGUUUACUGUGGCGUUCUGCCGCUUCUCCCCUCAGCUCCCGUUAGAGCUUCUCAUGCCGAGUCCACAGAAGAGAGCAUACAGUUUGCAGUUGAAUUUGCAAAGGCAAAGGGACUCUGCAAGCUUGGAGACGCAGUCGUGGCUUUGCACAGCGCUAAUGCUGAUAUGAUCAAGAUUUGUUUGUGGUAUGAAGGAGAUCCGUUUGAAGUUUAGGUUGAAAUUUACCUUUGAUUUGCAACAUCCAAUUUUGGCUUUACUGUUUUGUUUUAGAGUUUAAUUUGAGGUUAGAACAAAUAACAUGAUGUAUUAUUUCAUAUAAUGAAGAGAAAUGUUAUUGGGCUUUGAAUA